rnacentral:lncRNA from 1 species
GUUCCAAGCCCGUCACUAUGCAAGAACCUCACAAGAAAGAGCAACAGUUUGUUUACAAGGUUCGGAUCUCAACUCACACACAAUCAGAUCAUCGAUCCAACAAAAGGAUCUCACAAUACUCCACCAAAUCGAAACCUGACCUAGACCAAAAAUAGUAUCUGACUUCACAGUUUAAUAUCUACCGAAACAAGGCAAAAAAUUGCUCAAAUACAACACCAAACAUCGGCUAUUACUCGCUGAAAAACGGACCAAUUUUCCGGCCAAAAUACCACCGGACCAUAGACCACAAAACAGCCGAAAUACUACAGUUGAUACCCCAUCAACACCGAUCAGAAUUUCAGAUUUAAUACAAGAGAAAAACUCCUUGUGAAAUCACCAAGAGAGACCCUUCGAGAGAGAGAGAGAGAGAGAGAGACGAGAGGAAGAGAAAAUGAAAAAAAUCUGCCUUUUUGAAAAAGCCGUCCACCAUGUUUUAAUUAAAAGAGGAUCUAAUUUCAACCAUUGAUUAAAAUCAAUGGUCGAUGCUUUUUCCAAAGAAAAACAAAUCCAUGUGAAAACUAAUUUGUCAAUAGGAAAUUACCAUGUAGCCAACUAGUUGUAAAAACAUUUUGGCACCUUUAAAAAACGUGUUUUGGUUUUGAAAAUAUUUCACAAUCUUCACCUUGUUUUCACAAACCCUUAGCUCUCUCUAGUUGCUACAAUGCAUGUGACGGUAAUGAUUUUUGCUCUAUAUCAUCACCCUUAGUACCUGUAAAAGAAAUUAGCCUGUAUCAAUAUGUAGUAAAGAUAAACAUAACUUAAACUUACCUGCAUUUAGAAUUUUGGUUCCCAUAUCAGAUGGGUUAUCAUCGAUAUGAAUUUUUUCAAGUAUAACAUCACCACAAGCAAUUUUUUCACGUAUGAAAUAAUACUUCACCUCAAUGUGUUUAGAUCUUUCAUGAUAAACUGGAUUUUUGUAUAAAAGUAAAGCACCUUGACUAUCGGUGAAAAUAACAGGUGACACUUGCAAAAAAUUCAACUCCCCCAAAAUUCCUUUCAACCAGAUACAUUCUUUUACAUAUUUGGUUAUUGCCACAUAUUCAGCCUUCGUGCUGGAUAAUGUGACAAUAGAUUGAAGUUGUGACUUCCAUGUGAUACAAUUAUCACCUAGUGUGAAGAAAUAGGCGGUAGUAGACUUUCUUUUAUCUUUAUCACCAGCAAAGUCGGAGUCUACAUACCCCUUUAAAAUGAGCUGUUCAGAUCUUCUUUCAAACACCAAUCCCACAUCUAAUGUCCCGGCAAUAUAUCUUAAAAGCCACUUUAACCCCGCCCAAUGAGGUUUCCCCGGAUUAGACAUGAAUCUACUUAAAAAACUUAUAGCAUAAGCCAAAUCCGGCCUAGUAGUAAUCAUAGAAAACAUGACUGAUCCUAUGACAUUAGCAUAUGGGAUAUUUUUCAUUUCUUCCAUUUCACUUUCAGUUUUAGGAUACUGAGAUGAUGAUAAAUUCAUAUGGGCUGCAAGAGGUACAUUAACUUUCUUGGCUUCUUUCAUGCCAAACUUGGUUACAACUUUGUUCAAAUAAGCACUUUGUGUUAUAGUUAAAAUGUUAUCUUGCCUAUUUCUGUUGAUAACCAUUCCCAAAAUUUUCUUAGCAUUUCCCAAGUCAUUCAUAUCAAAUUCUGAUUUUAGAAGCCCUUUAAGUUUCAAAAUUUCAAAUUUACUAGAGCUGGCUAAUAGCAUGUCAUCAACAUAUAGAAGUAAAUAAAUUUC